UUUCAUUCUAUCAUAUAAGGUAAAAGAGCUAUUAGCUAUACAUGGUUACCCGGUGACAACGGUGCCAGCUGCAGCCCUAACAUGGAUCUUCUCGGCCUUCUUAGGGCUCGAUCUUUGCUUCAUUGUCGUUGUCUCCUUCCUCUCCUUCGCCUCAUCCAUCUCUAUCUGCAACGCCCGGCACUCCUCACUGCAGAAUGGAGUAUCACCCCUGUACAUGAAGAUGUCGUCCUUGCGGGACAGCGCCUUCUUGCAGAGGAAGCAAGCAUCAAGAAAGUACUGCGGCUCCUCAUCGGAGAAAUCGUCGUAGAAAAAGCCGGCCGGCGGCGGCGGCGGCGGCGGCGCGACGGAUCUGACGGGGCGUGGGGAGCCGAUGACUGCGCUGUAGCUUCCUCUGAUGCGGCUGUCACGGUAGAUGGGGGCGGCGGCGCCGGAGAAGCCGGCUUCGAGGUCGGCGGCGGCGCAGUCCAUGGAGAUCUAGAUCUUGAGGCGGUUUCGAUGGGGCCGUGGCGAUGAGUUUAUGGAGCUCGGACCGGG
rnacentral:misc_RNA from 1 species